UACGUAGGGUGCAAGCGUUGUCCGGAAUUAUUGGGCGUAAAGAGCUCGUAGGCGGUUUGUCGCGUCUGCUGUGAAAAUCCAGGGCUUAACCCUGGACCUGCAGUGGGUACGGGCAGACUAGAGUGCGGUAGGGGAGAUCGGAAUUCCUGGUGUAGCGGUGAAAUGCGUAGAUAUCUGGAGGAACACCGGUGGCGAAGGCGGCUCUCUGGACCGAUACUGACGCUGAGGCGCGAAAGCGUGGGGAGCAAACAGG
rnacentral:rRNA from 1 species